CAGUCGCCACGGGAAUACGAAGGGUGCAAGCGUUACUCGGAAUUACUGGGCGUAAAGCGUGCGUAGGUGGUGGUUUAAGUCCGUUGUAAAAGCCCUGGGCUCAACCUGGGAAUUGCAGUGGAUACUGGAUCACUAGAGUGUGGUAGAGGAUAGUGGAAUUUCCGGUGUAGCAGUGAAAUGCGUAGAGAUCGGAAGGAACAUCUGUGGCGAAGGAGACUAUCUGGGCCAACACUGACACUGAGGCACGAAAGCGUGGGGAGCAAACAGGAUUAGAGACCCCGGUAGUCCCUGUCUCUUAUAC
rnacentral:rRNA from 1 species